rnacentral:rRNA from 1 species
GACGAACGCUGGCGGCGUGCUUAACACAUGCAAGUCGAACGGAAAGGCCCUGCUUUUGUGGGGUGCUCGAGUGGCGAACGGGUGAGUAACACGUGAGUAACCUGCCCUUGACUUUGGGAUAACUUCAGGAAACUGGGGCUAAUACCGGAUAGGAGCUCCUGCUGCAUGGUGGGGGUUGGAAAGUUUCGGCGGUUGGGGAUGGACUCGCGGCUUAUCAGCUUGUUGGUGGGGUAGUGGCUUACCAAGGCUUUGACGGGUAGCCGGCCUGAGUGGGUGACCGGCUACAUUGGGACUGAGAUACGGCCCAGACUCCUACGGGAGGCAGCAGUGGGGAAUAUUGCACAAUGGGCGGAAGCCUGAUGCAGCAACGCCGCGUGCGGGAUGACGGCCUUCGGGUUGUAAACCGCUUUCGCCUGUGACGAAGCGUGAGUGACGGUAAUGGGUAAAGAAGCACCGGCUAACUACGUG